rnacentral:rRNA from 1 species
AUUGAACGCUGGCGGCAUGCUUUACACAUGCAAGUCGAACGGUAACAGGCCGCAAGGUGCUGACGAGUGGCGAACGGGUGAGUAAUGCAUCGGAACGUGCCCAGUCGUGGGGGAUAACGCAGCGAAAGCUGUGCUAAUACCGCAUACGAUCUAUGGAUGAAAGCGGGGGACCGUAAGGCCUCGCGCGCUUGGAGCGGCCGAUGUCAGAUUAGGUAGUUGGUGGGGUAAAGGCUCACCAAGCCAACGAUCUGUAGCUGGUCUGAGAGGACGACCAGCCACACUGGGACUGAGACACGGCCCAGACUCCUACGGGAGGCAGCAGUGGGGAAUUUUGGACAAUGGGCGCAAGCCUGAUCCAGCAAUGCCGCGUGCAGGAAGAAGGCCUUCGGGUUGUAAACUGCUUUUGUACGGAACGAAACGGUCUGGGUUAAUACCUCGGGCUAAUGACGGUACCGUAAGAAUAAGCACCGGCUAACUACGUGCCAGCAGCCGCCGUAAAAC